UGUAUGGAUGGCAUUCGUCUCCCUCCAGCCCCUGCGGUGUGCACAUGCGGAGACCUCGGAGCCACAGACUCACAGCACAGCAGAGACCCACACCACACUGCACAUCCCUGUCACACGCCUGAAACACAAACACACACAACACUGACUCAAUCGCUCAUUGAGUUCUCAUAGCACAUAUAGGAUAUUGAAUCUAUUUAAUGCUUAAUCUAAUUAGAUGCUGGAUUUCAAUAUAUAUUUAAAAAUUAAAUAAUUACAAUUUUAAAAUUGUUAAAUAUUUAAUGAGAAUUAUUUUUCUUCACAAACAUUUGUUAACAAAUUAUGAUUUGCUAAUAGUUGAUAAUUCAGCUUUGUUUAGCUUCUGUGAAUUUGCAUUUCCCCAUCUUAAAAGUGCAAAUUCUUAAAAUGUUUGUGUUUUGUAUAUAAAUUCAUUUCUUUAUUCAUUUAUUGCGAUUUUAUUUUUUCCAGACAAACACACUCUGGUCUCAUCAAAGAGGAAGGAAUUCUGCUUUGUUGGUUGCUGUGGCCCUGAGGAGAUACUUGGACUUCUCUGCUGAUCUUCCCCUGCUCUGUCACCCCUCCACCCUAACCUCCGUCAUCCCUUUCUCUGUGACGCUGGACCGGAUGAUGGAGAAGAGAUGGAGCAAAUCCUUCCUGAUGACACCAGAUACAUUAGCACCUUUUUAUUGGAUUUUCCUCUGGUUAUUAAUCAUGUGAGUUAAUUUUAGAACCCCAUU